rnacentral:rRNA from 1 species
GGCAUUCUGAGCUUUUUGCCAAACCACUGUGAACAGCUUAGACUUCGGUCUUUGCAAUUGCUUGGGUGUCGAAAGGCGCCCAAUCUUUAAAACUUUUAUAUUUGUUCUGAAACAAUGAAAAUUUAAAACUUUCAACAACGGAUCUCUUGGUUCUCGUAUCGAUGAAGAACGCAGCAAAGCGCGAUAGGUAAUGCGAAUUGCAGACGUGAGUCAUUGAAUUUUUGAACGCAUAUUGCGCUAUUAGUUUGUCUAAUAGCAUGCUUGUUGGAGUGAUAAUCUUCCUCUCAACCAUUUUUGGUAUGAGGUCUUGCUCCUUUUAGGAGUUAAAAUCAUGGAAGUGCACACGUUAAUUAACUCUGUGCAGUUAUACACUUUUCAUCCUCCAAUCAAGCAAGGUUACGCGCUGAAUUAAAAGCAUAAU